rnacentral:rRNA from 1 species
GACGAACGCUGGCGGCGUGCUUAACACAUGCAAGUCGAACGAAAAGAGGGAAAGAGCUUGCUCUUUCCGGAAUUGAGUGGCAAACGGGUGAGUAACACGUAAACAACCUGCCUUCAGGAUGGGGACAACAGACGGAAACGACUGCUAAUACCGAAUAAGUUCCAAGGGCCGCAUGGCCCAUGGAAGAAAAGGUGGCCUCUACCUGUAAGCUAUCGCCUGAAGAGGGGUUUGCGUCUGAUUAGCUGGUUGGAGGGGUAACGGCCCACCAAGGCGACGAUCAGUAGCCGGUCUGAGAGGAUGAACGGCCACACUGGAACUGAGACACGGUCCAGACUCCUACGGGAGGCAGCAGUGGGGAAUCUUCCGCAAUGGGCGAAAGCCUGACGGAGCAACGCCGCGUGAGUGAUGACGGCCUUCGGGUUGUAAAACUCUGUGUUCCGGGACGAAAAGGCAGAGUGCGAAGAACAAACUGCAUUGACGGUACCGGAAAAGCAAGCCACGGCUAACUACGUG